rnacentral:rRNA from 1 species
UGGGGAAUUUUCCGCAAUGGGGGCAACCCUGAUGGGGCAACGCCGCGUGGAGGAUGAAGGUCUUCGGGUUGUAAACUCCUGUCAUCUGGGAGGAAGACCUGGUCGUUAAUAGCGAACAGGGUUGAUAGUACCAGACGAGGAAGGGCCGGCUAACUUAGGGCAAGCAGCCGCGGUAAUACGAAGGUGCCAAGCGUUGAUCGGAAUUACUGUGCGUAUAGGGAGAGUAGGCUGCGUGGUAAGUCUGAUGGG